GGAGGAGUGGCCGAGUGGUCGAAGGCGGCGGACUUGAAAUCCGUUGAACCUUUUGGGUUCCGGGGGUUCGAAUCCCUCCUCCUCCGCCA
rnacentral:tRNA from 1 species